rnacentral:rRNA from 1 species
UACGGAGGGGGCGAGCGUUAUUCGGAAUUAUUGGGCGUAAAGGGCGCGUAGGCGGCUUGAUGUGUCAAAGGUGAAAUCCCUCGGCUCAACUGAGGAACUGCCUUUGAAACUGUCUGGCUUGAGGCCGGGAGAGGGUAGCGGAAUUCCCAGUGUAGCGGUGAAAUGCGUAGAUAUCUGGAGGAACACCGGUGGCGAAGGCGGCAUCCUGGACCGGUAUUGACGCUGAGGCGCGAAAGCCAGGGGAGCAAACGGG